AUUGAACGCUGGCGGUAUGCCUUACACAUGCAAGUCGAACGGUAGAGGGGCAACCCUUGAGAGUGGCGAACGGGUGAGUAAUACAUCGGAACGUGCCCAGUCGUGGGGGAUAACGUAGCGAAAGCUACGCUAAUACCGCAUACGACCUGAGGGUGAAAGCGGGGGAUCGCAAGACCUCGCGCGAUUGGAGCGGCCGAUGGCAGAUUAGGUAGUUGGUGGGGUAAAGGCCUACCAAGCCUGCGAUCUGUAGCUGGUCUGAGAGGACGACCAGCCACACUGGGACUGAGACACGGCCCAGACUCCUACGGGAGGCAGCAGUGGGGAAUUUUGGACAAUGGGCGAAAGCCUGAUCCAGCCAUACCGCGUGCGGGAAGAAGGCCUUCGGGUUGUAAACCGCUCUUGUCAGGGAAGAAAUCUUCUGGGUUAAUACCUCGGGAGGAUGACGGUACCUGAAGAAUAAGCACCGGCUAACUACGUGCCAGCCGCCGCAGUAA
rnacentral:rRNA from 1 species